UACGAAGGUCCCAAGCGUUAUCCGGAUUUAUUGGGUUUAAAGGGUGCGUAGGCGGGCUAUUAAGUCAGUGGUGAAAGCCCCAAGCUUAACUUGGGAACUGCCAUUGAUACUGAUGGUCUUGAGUACAUUUGAGGUGGGCGGAAUGUGUCAUGUAGCGGUGAAAUGCUUAGAUAUGACACAGAACACCGAUUGCGAAGGCAGCUCACUAAGCAAAUAUUGACGCUGAGGCACGAAAGCGUGGGGAUCAAACAGG
rnacentral:rRNA from 1 species